GCAUUCGCUUCGGCAAUACAUAUGUUAAAACUGAAACGAUGCAGAGAGUAUUAGGAUGACCUCUGCUCAAGGAUGACACUCUAAAUCGUGAAGCGUUCCACAUUUAA